rnacentral:rRNA from 2 species
UAAUUGAAGAGUUUGAUCAUGGCUCAGAUUGAACGCUGGCGGCAGGCUUAACACAUGCAAGUCGAGCGGUAGCACAGGGGAGCUUGCUCCCCGGGUGACGAGCGGCGGACGGGUGAGUAAUGUCUGGGAAACUGCCUGAUGGAGGGGGAUAACUACUGGAAACGGUAGCUAAUACCGCAUAACGUCGCAAGACCAAAGAGGGGGACCUUCGGGCCUCUU